GAGUCACCAGCACGCAGGAGAAGAGGGCGAAGCGGCCACCCGCGUUCUGUGUUCGGAGUCAGGACGAGAAGCAUUGGGUGGGAGCAGGGCGAGGGGCUCGAGUUGGGUCUGCAGCGGGCACAGGACCUAGUUUUGUACAGUUAACGGUGGGGUUGAGUAAAGAGGGGGGCGGUGGGGAGGAUGUAAGCUCCCUUUAUUCCUUUCCCAGCGGACCAGGAGGAAGCUUCGUUGAAUUGAGCGCCCCUGGCUCGUAUAGCAGGCCGAGGAGGGAGCUCAUGGGCAGCGUUGGCUAAGAGUUCGAGAUCAUCUAGAAAUGUCAGAAACGUAGGUUGGGUCGUGAGGUCUCUGAAGACAGUGGGUGAAACUCCAGUGUAAGGCGCUGCGUCCGCUUGGUAGAGAGCCGGCCGAAGUCCGAGUCUUUGUUGCGAGGCGUAGGGCCACCCUGCGCGCCCAGCAGAAGCGCUAGAGGGCACGGUUGCCCGGGGUGAACCGCAUGUCCAAAUGUAACUGUGUGCUCCGAGUUAAAAUUGUUUUUCUGCAGACUUUGCUUGAGCCAACGAUUCCGGAAUUGGGGAAAGGGUUACCUUAGGUAGAAAUCGGAAAUUUAUAGGAGACACAGAGGUAAGGACCAACUGUUAGGACUGAGUGAAAAAUGGUUCCCUCCAACUGUAAAAGUGGAAAAAAAAAUACCUAUCUUAUAGGUGGGGCAGUGAGGAGUAAAUGAGUUUAAUAUAUUUCAAGCUUUUAAAACAACCUCGCCCAUCAUAAGCACUGUUUAAACAUUAGCUCUUAUCUUUUAAAAAUAUUAGUGGAUGUUUAAAAUGAAUGAAUACAAUUUGUCCAAGAAAUAUGGCGUAAGAGCCCAGAAGAAAUAAAGUUUAAUCUUACAAAGGGCUUCUGUAGAAAGAAUACAUGCAUGGAAUUGAUGGAAUUUGGUAUAAAUCUUGAAAAAACUUAAUAGGUGUAUUCAAUCGUUCAGUAAAUGUUUCCUGAGCAUUUAUCAUGUGUCAGCUACUGUUGGAGCUCUGAGAAUGGUUCUCAUGCAGUUUACAUUCUAGUAAGAGAGCAAGGCCCAAUAACCAAGCACUCGUGGGAGAAGAAGGAUUUCAGAUACCACGGGGUGGGCAGGCAUUAUAGCAGGAGCUAAAAAGCACAGAGUGAAAGCAUGUAUUCUGGGAUUGCAUUGGGACUUGGAGGGGAUAUAACGGGAGUGUAGGGGUGUGGCGUUAGCACAAGGGGAGCCUCAACUGGCUUAAUAAGACAUUUACCUCAAUGAUAGGGGUAAACCACUGUAGGGUUUUGUUUGUUUUUUUAAGAACACACAACAACACUAGGUUUUGUAGGUUUUUGGAAGCUCUUUAGUAACAUGGCUGAACCUGAGUUUUUGGAUAGGUAGGGAGCAUAAAAUAAUAACUAAUGUUAAUUGAGUGCCCACUGUAUGUUGGGCAUGGAUAGUUUUAAGUAUUUAUCAUAACUCUCUGUGAUGAAUACUACUGUUAUCUCCAUUUUACAGUUGAGGAAACCGAGACAUAGGUUACUUUGCUCAAGAUCACACAGCUGAGAAUGUGGGAACACGCUAGGAGCCCUUCUUAACUACUAGUCUGUAUGCCUCUAAAUUAUGCCUGAUUCCUACUUACAGUCUUGUUAAACAGUUAAGAUUAGCACACUCAACAGAGUCAGAAAACAGUUGUUCAGCCUAUAAUAAAGCACUAAAUUUUGUGGGCAAACUUUACAUAAACUCUUUCCUUAGCUGGUCUAGAGAGAAAAAUUAAAUCAUGUUCUAUUUAUUUCAUUUUCACCUUUUUAUGACACAAAAUAUAAGUGAUAACACAAAAAUCACCUACUGUUUUACUGUUAUUGGAGGAAAUGUAAUAUUUUUCAUUCUUAAUUUAAAAUCAAAGCAUUUGGAAUUUAUUAAUGGAACACAUUUUCUUUCCUUCCACUUCUAGCCUCUCUGUGUGAUGACCUCCAUCCCCACGGCUUCUUACUAGCUCUCAUUAGGAGACUGGAGUCCUCACCCUUGCCCCAUUGACACGAGCUUUAAGUGUUCCAGCUAGAUAGGCCCUGGUCAUUCAGAAAACAAUUUGGUUUGGGAGGUGUUGAAAGAAAUAACAGGAAAAGCAAUUCUCUGCAGAGAGAAUUUGGUUUAUUUUUCUAAAAAUACAGCGAACCCAUCCACUCUUACCCUGGCAGAUGCCUCCCCUGGUAUAGAGAAAUUUCUUCUUUCUUCCUCCUUCACAUCAUUGCACACCUGAUUAAGUCAACCAGGGUAAUUAAAAUACAAAAGCAAAACAAAAAAACUCUGGGCAGUUGCUGAAGGUAGGCAGGGGGAGAGUGGAUAGGUCUGCUAUGUGAGCCACAUCAAUGACCAGGCUGGUCUUCCCAGUCGCCUUUCUUCUUCCUCCUUCCUUGGUGACUUUUGAAACAAAGAAAGGUGACCUUUGCAUACCGGGCACUAUGAGCUAGAGCCUCCUCUUCCAGCGGGCAGUCCGCUCAGAGGUCGAAUUUAGCGUGUACUCAAAAUGUGUGCUGAGUUGAGUUGUUGGGAGGUUUAUUUACCCUUUGGAGUGUCGCUGCUGCUUCUUGGCCUGUUUAGUGAGUGACUUUGUGGUCUGGGGGAGCAGGGUCCAGCCUUUUGUUAUCUCCUGAUUCAUGACUCAUUUACCACAUCUACUGUAUGAGAGGUUGGUCUCAUUCGCCCACCUACUGAGUCCCAGAUUGCAUAUGUCAAGCAGGACACCUCUCCUUAACCCAUCUGCUCUAUGCUAAGCUUGAAAGACUAGGGGUGUACUGAGUAGCCUUUUCUUUCCUUAAAAUAGCAGGGUGAGUCUUAAAAAAAACACCUCACAGGUGAGUUCCUAAUUUCACUAAACUGCUGAGCACAGUGAGAAAUGCUCCAGCUAGGCAGACAAGCUCUUGCCCUUUUUUCUGUAACUUACAAAUUGUGUGGUUUUGCAAAUCAGGCAACUUCUGCCAUCAGGCAAAUGUGCAUUUGCAGAGCAAAUUGUGGUUGGCUUUUUAGAGAUGACUCAGGUAUGCAUUGGAGCUUGCUGCAUGGAAAUUCCUCAUCAGGGGAAGCUUGUGGGAAAUCUGGAGGUGAUGUAAGGCCCCCUGGUAAUUAUAGUAGGAACUUUUAACUUCAUCUGUUUCUGGGGUAAUUUCCAAAUGCUCAAACUUCUUUUGAAUAAUUGUAGGUCUCUUAAUUCAAAUCUUUUUUUUUUUUUUUGAGACAGGGUCUCACUCUGUCACCUAGGCUUAAUGCAGUGGCUGGAUCAUGGCUGACUGCAGCCUCAACCUCCCAGGCUCAAAGGAUCCUCCUGAGUAGCUGGGACUACAGGCACGUGCCAUCACGCCCUGCUAGUUUUUUAGUUUUUGUAGAGAAGAGGUCUCACUGUGUUGCCGAGGCUGGCCUCAAACUCCUAUACUCAAGUACUCCUAAUUCAAGCAUUUUUUUGAACAACCAUCAUGGACUUAGCACUGUGUACUAAGAGCAGUUCUAUGUAUUUGCAUUAUUUUUGUAUCCACACUUAGCUAAUUAGUGCUCACCCUGUACCAGGGAGUGUUCCAAGUACUUUACAUAUUUUAAUUCUCUUAAUUCUCACAAUGUCUUUUAUAGGGUAGAUCUUUAUAGAUGACAAAACAGGUACAGAGAGGCCAAGAGAGUUGUAGGAAGUCAUCAUUAAGAAGGCUCCCAGGGAUCCCUCCUCCUGGUGUCGCCCAAUAUGUAACACCUUUCCUGUGAAUGAGGGCUGAUCCUGCUUUAAGUGAACAGAAUAUGGUCAAAGUGAUAGAAUGUCACUUCUGAGAUUAGGUUAAAAAAGACUAUGAAUUCUGUCUUACUGUCCCUCCGUUCCUCUCGCUUGCUGUCUUAGCUCGAGCUGCUAUAAUAAAAUAUCAUAAACUGGGUGGUUUAAAUAACAAACAUUUAUUUCUCACAGUUGUGGAGGACGGGGAGACCAAGGUCAAGGUGCCACAGGUGUCUAGCGAUGGCUUGCUUCCUGGUUUGUAGAUGGCAGCCUUCUCACUGUGUCCUUACGUAGCAGAGAUAGGAAGGAAGCUCCCUCAGGACUCUUCUAAGGAUACCAACCCUCUCCAUGAGGGCUACACCCUUAGCACCUCCUGUAAUCCUGAUUACCUCCCAAAGACCCUGCCUGCUAAUAUCAUCACAUUAGGGAGUACAGUUUCAAUAUGUGAAUUUUGAGGGGACACAAGUAUUCAGUCUGUAACACUCUCUGAGCCCUCUCUGUGGAUGAAGCCAGCUACCAUGUUGGGAGUAGCUCUGCUAAACGGUCCACGUGGCAAGGAACUGAUGUCUCUGGCCAACAGCUAGUGAGAACCCUGGGCUUGCCAACAGUGAGUGAGUUUGGAAGUGGAUUCUCUCAGCCGAGCCUUGUGAUGAUUGCAACCCUGGCUCACAAGUGAUUGUGCCUGUGACACCUUGAACUAGAGGACUCAGCUGAGUUGAACACAGAAACUGUGAGAUAAUGAAUAUGUGCUGUUUUUAUUUUUAUCUUUAUUUUUAGAGAUAGGGUCUUACUAUGUUGCCCAGGCUGGAGUGCGGUGGCCAUUCUCAGACACAAUCAUAGUGCAUUACAGCCUGGAACUCCCAGGCUGAAGCAAUCCUCCUGCCUCCGCCUCCCAAGUUGCUGGGACUACAGGUGUGUGCCACUGCACCUGGCUUCAGUGUUUGUUGUUUUAAGCCAUGAAGUUUUGGGAUCAUUUGUUACUCAGCAAUAUAUAACUAAUACACCUGUCCCAGGUCACAAGGCUUAUAUGUAAAAUGAUUUUUUAUUAUAAUGCUAUUUAAAUAUAAGGAAACAAAUAUAGGAAUAUUAUUUUUGUUAUUUACAGCUAUAGAAACAAAAAAAUUGAACACCAACAAAACCAGAAUUAAUGUUCUUAUUUCUUAUUUUUAUGUAAAUCCAUAUUUUUCAGAUGAUAAUUUGAUGUGAUAGAAGAUGUGCGAAAAUGAAAUCAUCAUUUAGUUUGGAAACAACCUCAGUGUCCAUCAAUAAGAAAAAGAACUAUGGAAAGCCAUCCUAUAAAACCCUCUGCAAUUUAGAAAAGUUCUCCAAGACAAUUUGUUACAUGAAAAAAGCACACUGUGGCUGGGCACAGUGGCUCACGCCUGAAAUCCCAGCACUUAGCGAGGCUGAAGCGGGCAGAUCGCUUGAGGUCAGGAGUUUGAGACCAACCUGGCCAACAUGGUGAAACCCUGUCUCUACUAAAAUUACAAAAAUCAGCUGGGCCUAGUGGUGGGCACUUGUAGUCCCAGCUACUUGGGAGGCUGAGGCAAGGAGAAUCACUUGAAGCCAGGAGGCAGAAGUUGCAGUGAGCCUAGAUUGUGCCACAGCACUCCAGCCUGGGCGACAGAGCGAGAGUCCGUCUCAAAAAACAAACAAACAAACAAAAAACACUGAAGCCAAAAAACCCAAAAUGAUUCCAUUUCUGUAGAAAAUACCGUGCAAGGCAAAAUGACUAUAUGUUUACAAGGGCAUAGAAAGGUCUGGAAGAAGACAGUGAACUGACGGCAGCAGCUGCCUCCAGGGAGGGGGAAUGUGAAUGGAUAUGCAGUAUGGAAAACAUACAUACUUCCUAUAUUUCUGGAGUUUAUUUCUUUUUUCUUCUCUUGUUCUUUUUUGUUUGUACAAUGAGAAUUUAUUCAUGUGUUUCGUGUGUUAUUUUUUAAAAAGUGUGUUGUCCUUGCCUUUCUGGGGGUUAUUUUAGUGAAGGAUUUAUUUAGCUGCAGGGUUGGUGCCAAAAUGGGUGAUAAAGACUAGCCAGCCAGAAAAGGUGGGCAUUAUACUGCUGAGAAAGGAACUAGGAGCUUCAGUCAGGUCUUUGGGUCUGAGAGGUGACUUGCUGAAAUUAAUAUUAAAUUUAAAUUAAUAUUAAAUAUUAAAUUUAAGAAGAGUAACCCAAAGGCAGUAUGUGAGUAUAACUUGGAGAUCCCAGAAAGAAGGAAAUAGGUUGGAGGAUCUAGUGCUCCAAGAGGGGCUUCCUGGGUCGAGUAGAGAUGAAGGUUAUGAGCCAGGUUGUGGCCACUGGUCAGCUGGCUAAGUGCAAAGAUUUAUUCAGUCAAUAGUGUCAUAUUUGGAGGCCAUGGAUAAUAUCAAGCCCAGGCUUGAUUUUUGGAGAGAUAGUAGCCUGGUAGGGGAAUAACAUUAAUUAUAAAACCCUUACACAAUGCUCACUGGAUAUCAGACACUCUUUUUUUUUUCUUUUCUUUUUUUUUUUUUUUUUGAGAUGGAGUUUCACUCUUGUUGCCCAGGCUGGAGUGCAAUGGUGUGAUCUAGGCUCACCACAACCUCCACCUCUCGAGUUCAAGCGAUUCUCCUGCCUCAGCCUCCUGAGUAGCUGGGAUUACAGGCAUGAGCCACCAUGCGCUGCUAAUUUUUUAUCUUUAGUAGAGACAGGGUUUCUCCAUGUUGAUCAGGCUGGUCUCAAACUCCUAACAUCAGGUGAUCCACCCACCUCGGCCUCCCAAAGUGCUGGGAUUACAGGCGUGAGCCACUGUGCCCGGCCCCCAGACACUCUUUUAAGCACAUGGCAUUUAAUCCUUAUUAGAACGCUCUAAGGCAUGUAGUCUAUUAAUCCCCUUUAAGCGAUGAACAAACCUCCAAGAGGAGGUUUAAUCCCUUGUCCUAGGUCACAUGCUGAUAAGUGACAGAAACAUGAUUUGGAUCCAGGCUGUUUUAACUCCAGUGACUGUGCUCUUAACCAUUUGGCUGUCCUGCCAGACAUCAUAUGGAAAAUCUAAUACAGUGUGAUACGUGUAUUAUGGAGAUGGGAAAGGAGAGGAGGGUGAAGUUCAGCACUUCCUGGGCAAGUGUGAGGAAGACAUCAAGAAAAAGCAAGAGUAGGAAUGUGACAACCAAAGAAGAGGGUAAAGACUGCAGUCCAGAGAGAGGGCAGCGUAUACCCGAAGGUACAGAGCUCCUGAAACUUUCCUACCUUGGGGAGUCUUCUGUCCUCUCUCCUCUAGGAACCAUCCUUGGAUCCCUGCUGGCCUCCUUUCUGAACCCGCUGUUGAGGCAGAGUUGCAUAUACAGCAUUUCUCCUAGGACUGUUUGUUCUUAGAUCUCUAUCCCUUAGUGAGAAGUGAAGAAAGGCAGAGGGGAGAGAGUCCGGAAUAAUCUCCUUAUUCUCCAUCCCCACAUCCCUAAGUCUGAUCUGAGAUUCCCCCAAAGAGCCUCGUCCACGCCAGCCUAACCCAACAGACAGUGUGGAUCACUGAGAACCAGCAAAAUUGACAUAACCUUGAGGCCUCAAAUAAUACAUUCCUUUCCUUUGACAUCAGUUUUGUCAGAUUAAAAAUCCAAUAACAGACUGUCAUUGAGUCCAAGAAAAGAGAUGGUAAUAAAAGGGAGAAUCUGACUCCAUAAUGGAAAGCAGGUGAUUUUUAAAAUUGGUUCCUCCAGCUGUCUAUGCUACAGAAAUUCCAAGAAAAAGUAGAAAAGCUGCUCCUUCCCCUUCUGUCUUCUCCGACUUGGUUGUGGCCCCGUUACUGCCCUGUUUGUCUUGCUUCGACUCCAGGAGGUGUCCUUAUGUCUCCCUCCCUCCAGCUUAGCCAAAUUCUGUGCGUCCUGCACACCUAGCUCACCACGCCAUCCCUGCUGCCCCUGCCUUCACCAAGGGCCUACACAAGUCACCUAGGGACUCUGCCUUCCACCACCUCACCAGCCUCUCCCUCCUCCAGCCCCUGUUUCACUGUCUCCACAGCAUAAACAUAAAUAAUUCUGGCAAAUGAAUAGCUGAUCUACCGUGUAAUGAGUGCUAUAGCAUUGAGUAAUAAGAUGCAAACCAUUUACCUUAUUGGUGCAUUCAUCAAGUGUGAAAAUAUUUACUGUAUGCCCAGCCUUGGGCUAGGUCCAUUGUAAAUUCCUUCGAAUAAGAUGAAACUUAUUUCAGACUACUUCAGGGGGUCUCAUGGAAAACAGGGGUGGGCAGUGUCCACAGGCCUGAGACCCCUAGAAUCAGGAGCUGCAAACCUCCAGUAAACAGGCAACUUGUGCUCUCCAAUUAUUUGUCAUAGAGUUUAUUUAACCCUUCCCCUUUCUGCAAACUGGCUCUUACUGCUUUCCAGAGCCCAAGGUCAAAGGUAGCCAGCCUGCAGAUUUUGAGUUUAUCAUCCUGUGUUCCAGCUGCCUCUCCUGAGGGAUGAGGCACUGCCAGAUCUCAGAUUUAAGCCAAAUCUCAGAAGAGAGAAUCUGACUGGACAGCUUAGGUCACGUGACCAUUCCCAGUCCAUUAAGCUAAGGCCACACAGACAGGCUCACUGGGUGGAAACAUGGCUGCCACUCGUCUGCCCUUGUGGGUGGGUGGGAGGAAUUCUGACAAGAGCAGUUUGGGGCUGGCCAGAUACUCCAAAAGUUGUCUGUUAUGUGUGGUUGGUUGGUUGGUUUUUUAAGACUGGGUUUCACUCAGUUGCCCAGUCUGGAGUGCAGUGGCAUGAUAUGUAGCUUACUGUAACUCGAACUCCUGGACUUAAGUGAUUCUCCGGCCUCUGUCUCUUGAGUAGCUGGUACCAUGGGCACCCGCCACCACACUAGGCUGAUUUUUUAUUUUUUGUAGAGACAAGGUCUGGCUAUGUUGCCCACAUUAGUGUCGAACUCCUGGGCUCAAGUGAUCCUCCUGCUUCAGCCUCCCAAAAUGCUGGGAUUACAGGCAUAAGCCAUGGCACCCAGCCUAUUAUGUGUUUUAAGGAAAGACAUGACCUCUGGCUUCUCAGCACUUAAGCCCCGUUGGGGAAAUUAAAUGGUAAGUUGAGGUUAUUUCAAAUGAAUGCAAAAUCUUUGAUUUUGUGGGAAGAAUUUAGAGUUUAUGAUGGACGUAUUGAUCUUGACUUUAAGGGAUCAUACGCCUUUGAGUUUUAGAGAGAAUGCUUAUUUCAAAUAAGAAUAGAAGGAUCAUAGGUUCCUAAAAGGAAUGCAUGAGGGCAGGAGACGGUCUUCAAAGUGGAUUCCAUUUUGAGUGCUGAGAGGUGAGAUUAGGUGGAAAAGUGGGAACAUUCAUCAAAAGGAUUUGAACAACAAAGACCUAAGUUUAGACUUGGCCUUAACAACAGGGAAUUCGGAUGGCUAAAAUGGAAAAUGGGUGUGUUCAGGAGUCACCCAGACUUGGUGAUUGUUAUUUUUGAGACAGGAUCUUGUUGUGUUUUUCAGGCUGGAGUGCAGUGGCCCAAUCAGGGCUCACUGUUGGCUUGAUAUACUGAGCUCAAGCGAUCCUCCUGCUUCAGCCUCCCAAGUAGCUCGGACUAUAGCCAUGCACCACCCCACCUGGCUAAUUUACAGACUUGGGUUUGAGUCUGUCCCUUUCUGUAGUUUAUGGGAGUGGGCAAUUUUCUUAACUGCAGAAUCUCAGUAUCUUCAUCUGGAAAAUGGCAAUAAUCAUACUGGUGGGUAAUGGGCAUCUGUGGUUUUGUCUUUCCAGCAUCCAUAUCCAUUCCGACUCUUUAAAAAAAAAAAAAACAGAAAAACAGAGUCUUGCUCUUUUGCCUAAGCUGGAGUACCGUGGCAUGAUCUUGGCUCACCAUAACCACUGCCUUCCAGGUUCAAGUGAUUCUCAUGCCUCAGCCACCCAAGUAACUGGGACUACAGGCACAUGCCACCACACCCGGCUAAUUUUUGUAGUUUUGGUAGAGAUGGGGCUUCACCAUGUUGGCCAGGCUGGUCUUAACUCCUGGCCUCAAGUGAUCUGCCCACCUUGGCCUCCCAAAGUGCUGGGAUUACAGGCAUGAGCCACUGUGUCUGGCCCAUUCCCACUCUUGAUAAACAUUCCUUGGUGUCACUUUGGGGAACUACAUUGUGUGGUUUGGGUAGGAUUGACUUCACCUCACAGCUAGAAAACGGACACAUGACACUGGCCAGGGCCACCCAUGCAGCACCUUCCUCAGGACCCUUUCCCUUCAUCCAUUGGAAAUUGUUUUAUUUCAUAUACAGAUUUAUGAUAUAUAUGGUGUGAAUGGUGCCUCUUUACAUGUGGUGCUGUGUAUAUUACACAACCUGUCCAGCCAUACAAAGCUGCUCUGACCCUGGCUAACUAGAGCAGUCUACCCUUGGCCACAGAUCAGGGAAAGGGAAGUGACCCAGGCCAAUGGGAGAUAAUUGCUUGCUAGAAAAGUGGUGAUGGAUUUCCUAAGCUCAGUGUUCUUUGGUUGCAAUGUAAAUGUAACCGUGUGCAAAGUAUCCAUCUGAGCCAUGCUGUGUCACCGUGGAAGGACAUGGUGUCUCGGGAUCCUUGGGCUGUCACCUUGCCAGCUGGAAACCUUGUGUGCGACAGUGCCUCCUGCCUGAGUAUUGCUAAUGCCCUCUGGGCUCAUUCUACCCACUCGGCCUGGCAGGCUGUGCUCAGCUUGCGCUACCAGCCCAGAUCCCAUACCUGCCAAGGGCAAGCUGGACACGGAGCAGUGAUGGGUGUGUGGGUGAGCGAGUGUGGGUUCAAGCUACUACGCACAGCUAGGCAUGCCGGCUGCUGUGAUGGGGCGGGCACUUCCAGGCACCAGCACAGGUGCCAGCUCUGUGGAAGGCUGCUGCUGGACCAGAUGUACCACAUACGGCUUCGGCUGCGGGCACCUGCAUCUGGAUGAGGGGAACUUGGUGCCCAAUAGCUUGGAGAUGCCAGGAACCACAGAGCCCCCAAAGAAGGUGUCAAAGCCCUGGCGUGGGGACGCCCUAAAUCUGGAUUCCCCGAAGGGCUACUGGUCUUUUCUCCUUCUCGUCGCCCACAAUGUGGCAAGCAGGGGGUCAUGUUUCAGCCCUGUUUUUGUUACGGCACUUUGAGUCCUGCCAUUUGGCAGGUCCUGAGUUCUUGUCCCAUGUCUGGGGAGAAUGAGGUACCAGACAACUGGAGGGUGAGGAAGGUGGAGAGGAGCUUCACUGAGCAACAGAACAGCUCUCAGGAGACCUGCAGUGAGUAGCUCCUUUCCGCAGCUGGUAGUCCUGAUGUCUGUGUGAGUCUGGCUUUUUAUGGGCUCAAAUGGGAGGAAGUGCAUGCUGAUUGGUCCAUGGGCUGCCAUGGGCAGCCCGGAAAAACCACAAGUUCUCACUCUGGGCCUUGGACUCCACCUGGAAGUGGCAGCCCAGCCCCCAGGCUUCAGGCUGUCCUGGCUUGAAGGUGGGGUUUCACCAGG
rnacentral:lncRNA from 1 species